rnacentral:rRNA from 1 species
AUGCAGCUCCCCCGAGCCUCCUCCCGGUGCUCUCCCCCGUGCAGCUCCCCUGUUCUUUCCUCCGGACCUAAAAAUCACUUAUUUCCAUAUCGAUCUGUAGGGCAUGGGGACGAGGGCGGCGACGAGCGCGCCUGUUGCCACGGUGAGCUCAAUACUCUUCGGCAGAUCCCUUCCCCAAACUCUGCUCCUGACGACAGCUCAUUGCUGGGGCUUCCCCCCAUGGAUGAGGAGGAGGACGACGAGUGCUGCCUGGCGGAGUUCUUCCGGCUGCUUCCUGGAGCGGUCCAGGGAGAUGGGAAGCUCUCCUAA